GGGAACCGGGAGUCUGGCGCCCCCGCCUACCUGAACAGGGCCAGGGACGCACCCCGCUGAGCGGCACCAGGGCGAUUGUGAUCUCAGUUACAGCCGGCCAGUCCCUGUCCCGCGCCUCCUCCGAGCCCGCCCCUGCAUGGCCCGUGUCCGAGUAGUUGCCAGGAGCCCUCCCCAGCCCCGCUCUGGAAAACCCCGCAGAGAGGGGCAGAGAGGGGCUCCUGGCUGAAGAGCUGGUCCAGCGCAGCGGACCCACCUUCCUCCUGGACCUUUUUAUUUGGGACGUGACAGACACUGCGGUUCAAGGCACACUCCUAGAUGCCAGGAGACAUCCACUCUGCCCAGACUGGCUCAGUCCUUACUUUACAGAGCAGGAAAAGAUCCGGGUCCAAAGUCACUCAGGAAGUGAGCACCAAAACCUUCAGACUGGCCCAAGACUGUCCAGAGGUGAGGGGCAGGAGGGGAGACUGCCGGGGACGCUACAGCCAGAGAGAGGAUCUGUGGAGGUAGGGGCUGGUGUCAUGACCUCCCCUUAGCCCUGGCACUAAGCGUUGGAGAAGCAAUCACCAGGUAAGAAAGCAGAAGCCAUAGAAAAGGGUCACAGGUGGCUUUUGCAUGCUGCCUACCCCUUCUUGACCUGAGGGGAACCUUAAGCGACAGACCACCUAAAGAGAAAGCACCAUAGAACCUUGGGGAUGCCUGGCCCACCAGACAGGGCACUGGACGGCCACCCAGGCUCCUGGCCGGUCUUGGCCUUCAAAUCUACCCACUGACUCCAGCCCCAGGGUCUUUGCUGUUCAUUAGCCUGGAAUAUUCCCUUGACCUCACUAUCUACUUGUCACUGGUCUCCUCGGCUCAAAUGUCACUUCCCACACCCCCUUUCCCAGCUCUGUCCCAACCAUCAUCUCCUGCGUCUCCCAGGUGACUGUUCUUUGGAUUGAACACUUACCUGUCUUCCCCACAGAGGCAGGACCUUUAUUUCCCAGGUAUUCAAGACACCAACGCAGAGCUUGAUGAACGCUUAGGAGAUUCUCCAUAGAGAGUUGUGAAGGGACAAAUUCGUAGCCACUUGGAAGUCCGUACACUUUAGACAGGCGGAUCGUAUGGUACAUGGAUUACAUCUCAAUAAGACAGUUGCCCGUUUUUUAAAAAGUAAAUCCAGGAAAGGGACGGCAGCUACGAUCCACCCUGUAUACGUGCCACCCCACAGGACACUCAUCCUCUCUCCAGACCCAGUCACUCUGCCUUCCCACAGUCCACACCCCACGUCUGUCAGUGGUGAAGGCAGUUGCUCGGACUUGGAAGGGACCUUAGAGGUCACUCUGUCUCUUUUACACUAUCCCUGACCGGUUACCCUCUGCCCUAAGCUUGGACAUGCCCAUGACAGAGACCCCAGGACCCCACAGAAUGUCCCCAUUCCAUUGCUGACUAGUUCAUCUCUGGGGGAGACAGCCUUUUGCCAGUGACACCCACAUCCUGGUCCUCCAUCUGUUCCAUGUGACACAGAACAAGCCACUCUGCUUUACAUAGAGAGAUCUGGCUGAAGCCUCGUCCAUAGAGGUCUCCUCAACCAGCUUAAAACCAUAUUCCUCCAUAUGCUGCGCUGGAUAUGGCCUCCUCCUCCAGGAAGCCCUCAAAGAUGUGACUCCCAGAGCACACUGAACCCAUCACACUGUAUUCUUGCCUUCUGAAACCUCACACUGGCUUCCCACCACUUGGAGCCCUCUCUCCUCAGUCAAUGUAAUUCUGAGGCUUUAUGCCCUGCCUAGUACCUGACCCAUCAUCCCAGCUCCAUCUCCCCCCAACUGACUUGGGCUUUUCCUCUUUAGGACACAACAAUGAACCCGUCUCCUCCUGCUGCCUCAACCCGUCCUCUAUUAAAGACACCACCCCUUUACUCUCCUGCAGUCUAGACAGAGCUGAGGGUCGGUCCGUGAAAUCCCCAGACCUGCUUCGGUGGCAUGUAGCUGUGGGAUGUAGCUCUCAGCGACGUCUCCUGCACCAAGCCUGGCAUUUCUGCUGCCAUGCCACCUGCCAUGAUGAUAGCAAUGGACUAAGCCUCUGAAACUGGCAGAACCAGACAGCUCUGGAUUGACUGUGAAAAAUCAAGUUCUUGAAAGACCCCGGGGUCCGGGGGAUACUUCUGCGGAGUUCCUGGAAGGGGCCAUGUGAUGGUUCAUCUUGUCGAUUCGAUGACAUUUAGGAUCACCAUGGAAACCAUCCUCUAGGCAUGUUUGUGAGGGAUUAUCCAGGUCAGGCUGAGGUGGAAGGAAGGUCCAUCCUACCUGUGAGCAGCACUAUUCAUUGGGCUGUGGUCC